GGGCCGGUGGUCUAGUGGUUAUGACAUCGCCUUGACAUGGCGGGGGUCGCAGGUUCGAACCCUGCUCGGCCCA
rnacentral:tRNA from 1 species